UCUUCUUAGUUUAUCAGUUGCAGCAGAAUAUAAAGCUAACAAUUUUUAUUUUCGCUAUAUCACAACUAACUUCAUUUCGUAGCACAACAAAUUUCCAAAUAAUUUAACCAAGAUGCUCUCAAAAACAUUGUUCUUCAGUUCCCUCUUCGUUGUCUUCGCGGUCCUUUUGCUAGACGCAUCAGUUGAAGCCCGAUACCUCCCCACCAGGGCCAAUGGGGACCGUGUGGAUAAGCUUAGAGAAAUGCUGAAAGAACUGUUAGAGAGCGAGAUAGAAAAAGAAGAAAUGGGUGACGUCCCAAGAUGGCAUCCAGAAAGCAAAUUAUUCUACAAGAGGGAAGCCCCUACACCAAAAGCAGAUACUCAAUAAAACUAAAACCCAUGACGACUAAAGCUGAGGAAAAUGGUCACGAAUUUUCGGGAAUUGUACAUAAAAAAGUUAUAUAAAAUUUUAAAUAUUUUUACUAAGUGUGAAAAAAUGUAAAAUAUUAAGAUUUUGGCAAACUGGAAGAUAUCCACCUCCCAAGAAAUUAUAGAACGUAAUAUUAUCGAAAAAUAAUAUACAGAGUGAAUCUUAUACCUUAUACAUAAUAUGCAUCAAUCGAGCAUUUCUACAUGAUAAUGAAAAUAAUAUUAUAGGUAUUGGGAUAAAAUAUGAAAAACAAACUUAUAUGUGUCUUACUUCGAUAUCAGCCACUCUGUAUAUUGUUCAUAAAGAGGUGAUUUUCAAUACCUUAGUGAAAGGCAGAGAAGUAGGAAUAUGCUACAUAAAAUAAUUUCAAUAUUUCUAUGGUUAGUUUCUAUGUAUUUGAAAUAACUUAGAUAUUCGGAGUCCUCCAAUUCGACCGAUUAUAUGAUCGGAAAUGAUUAAUUUUGGUUAACAAUGUGAAGGAAAGAAGUGAAGAGUUCCUUCGUAAUAUCUUUUUGGCAAAAAGGAGUCCGUUAAUAUUUUUCAAAUAUGAAUUAAAUUUUCACUUAACUUUUGAAGUGUACGUACCUAUUUAUUCAAGAAAAAUCAUAAACAAUGAAUAAUAAUUUUCAUGUUUUCUUUCAUUGAAGUUUUGAAUUUGACAUCAAUGAUGUCUAUUCAAGAAAUAGCACGAAUAGUGAUAACAAACAUCAGAAAAAGGAAUGCCAUUCAACAUUAACUAUUGAGUUCAAAAGUAAACAGUACCAUUGAUAAAAAUAUUGUGGAUAUUAUAGUAGUGAAACAAAACAUGAAGUGUUGGUUGAUUGAUUAUGUCAGUAACACAUAGUAACUAUUUCCAAACGAAACCUAUCCAAAUAAUUUUGACAGUAUUGACCGACAAGAAAAACGUAGGAACACGUUACAUAUUUUUAUGUCCAUCAUUCACAUUUCUGAAAUGCGGCCUGAAAACGAAUUACUAACGUAGGAUUUGGAGGAAACUAAGUAUUGACUAUAAAUGUCAAUAGUGUUGAUAUUGAAAACCCAUCAAGAAAUCGGAAUCUGACAAUAGUGUCAUUGAAUUGAAGUCUAUUUUCUGAAGGAAAAACUUCGGAACAUAGUGAAUGAAUAACGGGAUUCCCUAUAUUCAUAUGCGAUUAUCUGAAAUAUCGAGAAUAUAUUUCUAGCAUUGAGAAUUGUAGACAUUAAGUUAUAUUCGAUAUUAUAGAGUACCUACCGUCCUUAAAAAAAUUCAGUUUGCCAAAAUUAAUGUAGGUCAAUUUAUUAGUUAUUAUUUAUUAAAAGCAAUACUUUGAAAAACAAAUUUUAACAAUAAUAAAUGUGAUUCACUAUGAAUGUGUCUUAUGAUUAACAAGAGAAAAGUUGAGAAUAAAAACUUCCAGAUCGAAAACGAA